rnacentral:rRNA from 1 species
CGGGCAGGCGGUUCGUUAAGUCCCCUGUGAAACUCCGAGGCUCAACUUCGGACAUGCAGGAGAUACUGGCGAGCUAGAGAUCGGUAGAGGCAGGCGGAAUUCCUGGUGUAGCGGUGGAAUGCGUAGAUAUCAGGAAGAACACCUGUGGCGAAGGCGGCCUGCUGGGCCGAUUCUGACGCUGAUCCGCGAAAGCGUGGGGAGCAAACAGGAUUAGAUACCCUGGUAGUCC